rnacentral:rRNA from 1 species
AUUGAACGCUGGCGGCAGGCCUAACACAUGCAAGUCGAGCGGAGCGGCGGACGGGUGAGUAAUGCCUAGGAAUCUGCCUGGUAGUGGGGGAUAACGUCCGGAAACGGGCGCUAAUACCGCAUACUAUCAGAUGAGCCUAGGUCGGUUGAGCUAGUUGGUGGGGUAAAGGCCUACAAAGGCGACGAUCCGUAACUGGUCUGAGAGGAGGAUCAGACACACUGGAACUACGACACGGUCCAGACUCCUACGGGAGGAAGCAGUGGGGAAUAUGGCACAAUGAGCGAAAGCCUGAACCAGCCAUGCGGCGUGUGUGAAGAAGGUCUUCGGAUUUUAAAGCACUUUAAGCUGGGAGUCGUUACCCGCAGAAGAAGCACCGACUAACUCCGUGCCAGCAGCCGCGGUAAUUC